UACGUAGGGGGCGAGCGUUUGUCCGGAGUUACUGGGCGUAAAGGGCGUGCAGGCGGUGCAGUAAGUUUGGAGUGACAGUACCCGGCUCAACUGGGUAAGGCCUUCGAAAACUGCUGGACUUGAGGGCCAGAGAGGGACAUAGAAUUCCGGGUGGAGUGGUGAAAUGCGUAGAUAUCCGGAGGAAUACCAAAGGCGAAGGCAGUGUCCUGGGGAGUACCGUGACGCUCAGGUGCGAAAGCCAGGGGAGCGAACGGG
rnacentral:rRNA from 1 species